CCAGCACCCGCGGUAAUUCCAGCUCCAAUAGCGUAUAUUAAAGUUGUUGCAGUUAAAAAGCUCGUAGUUGGAUUUCUGGUGGGAGGGAACCGUCCGAUCUCAGAUUGGUGCGUGUUCGUCUCCGGCCAUCCUUGAGUCUAACCUCCUUGGCAUUAAGUUGUCGAGGUGGGGAUACUCAUCGUUUACUGUGAAAAAAUUAGAGUGUUCAAAGCAGGCUUAUGCCGUUGAAUAUAUUAGCAUGGAAUAAUAAGAUAGGACCUCGGUACUAUUUUGUUGGUUUGCGCACCAAGGUAAUGAUCCAUAGGGACAGUUGGGGGUAUUCGUAUUCAGUAGUCAGAGGUGAAAUUCUUAGAUUUACGGAAGACGAACUACUGCGAAAGCAUUUACCAAGGAUGUUUUCAUUAAUCAA
rnacentral:rRNA from 1 species